rnacentral:rRNA from 1 species
GGGUAGUUUGACUGGGGCGGUCUCCUCCUAAAGAGUAACGGAGGAGCACGAAGGUUGGCUAAUCCUGGUCGGACAUCAGGAGGUUAGUGCAAUGGCAUAAGCCAGCUUGACUGCGAGCGUGACGGCGCGAGCAGGUGCGAAAGCAGGUCAUAGUGAUCCGGUGGUUCUGAAUGGAAGGGCCAUCGCUCAACGGAUAAAAGGUACUCCGGGGAUAACAGGCUGAUACCGCCCAAGAGUUCAUAUCGACGGCGGUGUUUGGCACCUCGAUGUCGGCUCAUCACAUCCUGGGGCUGAAGUAGGUCCCAAGGGUAUGGCUGUUCGCCAUUUAAAGUGGUACGCGAGCUGGGUUUAGAACGUCGUGAGACAGUUCGGUCCCUAUCUGCCGUGGGCGCUGGAGAACUGAGGGGGGCUGCUCCUAGUACGAGAGGACCGGAGUGGACGCAUCACUGGUGUUCGGGUUGUCAUGCCAAU